rnacentral:rRNA from 1 species
GACGUAGGGCGCAAGCGUUGUCCGGAUUUAUUGGGCGUAAAGAGCUCGUAGGCGGUCUGUCACGUCUGCCGUGAAAACCCGAGGCUUAACCUCGUGGCUUGCGGUGGAUACGGGCAGACUAGAGGUAGGUAGGGGAGAACGGAAUUCCCGGUGUAGCGGUGAAAUGCGCAGAUAUCGGGAGGAACACCGGUGGCGAAGGCGGUUCUCUGGGCCUUACCUGACGCUGAGGAGCGAAAGCAUGGGGAGCGAACAGG